UACGGCCAUAUCAUGUUGAAACACCGCUACCCGUACCUGAGUUAAGCAACGUCGAGCCUGGUCAGUACCUGGAUGGAAGACCGCUUGGGAAUGCCAAGUGGUGUAAG